rnacentral:rRNA from 1 species
GAUGAACGCUGGCGGCGUGCUUAACACAUGCAAGUCGAACGAUGAAGCUCAGCUUGCUGGGUGGAUUAGUGGCGAACGGGUGAGUAACACGUGAGUAACCUGCCCUUAACUCUGGGAUAAGCCUGGGAAACUAGGUCUAAUACCGGAUAGGAGCGCCUACCGCAUGGUGGGUGUUGGAAAAAUUUAUCGGUUUUGGAUGGACUCGCGGCCUAUCAGCUUGUUGGUGAGGUAAUGGCUCACCAAGGCGACGACGGGUAGCCGGCCUGAGAGGGUGACCGGCCACACUGGGACUGAGACACGGCCCAUACUCCUACGGGAUGCAGCAGUGGGGAAUAUUGCACAAUGGGCGAAAGCCUGAUGCAGCGACGCCGCGUGAGGGAUGACGGCCUUCGGGUUGUAAACCUCUUUCAGUAGGGAAGAAGCGAAAGUGACGGUACCUGCAGAAGAAGCACCGGCUAACUACGUG